rnacentral:lncRNA from 1 species
AAUAAAAAAUAAAAAAACAGACAAGGGAAGGAAACCCUCGCCACCACGCGCCGCCGCCGCCGCCGCCGCCGCCGCCGCCCGCCGCGCUACCACCUGUUGCUCGUACGAUCGGAUUCAAAUUGUCGCUUCUUUCUUCUUCCACAGCACAGGACGGGGUGUAGAAGAAGAAGAAGAAGAGCAUCAAGAGGAUGGGUUCACUGCGGCGGGUUGUGCACCUGGUGACCGCAUUGAACGGCAGCGCCAACCUCCGCCACAUCGACACGUCGCGUUUCUUCUCCCGCCGGCCGCCGCCGCCGUUCAGCCCGUCGUCCAUGGCGGUGGUGACGGAGGAAUCCUCCUUGCCGGAGCCCUCCAUGUCGUUCUACCCAGCUCCGGCCCCGCCGGAGAGCAACGGCGACAUCGGGGUGAUGCUCUUCGGCCGCGCCCGCGACAGGCUGCUGGUGACGGACCAGUCCGACAGCGCCGCCAUCUACGACGCCGGCACGCACGCCCUGCUCGCGGAGACCACCCCGCUGAAACCCAAGUACUGGCCAGUCUCCGUCCCUGUAGGCGACGACAUCUACCUCUUCGACCUGUACCCCAGGGUGCCCUGCGGCGGCCGCCAUUGCUUCGAGGCUGUCACGGCGGUGGAUUCCUCUUCUUCUUCUUACUGCUCCCGUGCGCUCCCGCCGCCGCCAUUCCUGUUUGCCCCGGGCUACAGCCCCAAGCCUAUCGAGUCCUACACGGUGGUCGGCGGAUCGGAGGUGUGGAUCUCCACGGCGCGCGCGGGCACCUACGCCUUCGACACGGUUAGCUGCAGCUGGAGCAAGCAGGCCGACUGGCCGAUGCCGUUCGCCGGCCUAGCGGAGUACGUCCCCGAGCACAAGCUCUGGUUCGGGCUCUCCUCCUCCAGGAGGGACAAGCACCCGCUCUGCGCCGUGGACCUCGCCGCCGCCGCCUCGCCGGAGACGGGGCCGGAGCUGACCAACGUGUGGAUGGAGCUGUCAGUGCCGAGGGAAUGGAUCCCGGUCGAGGCCUUCCUUGUGCACCUUGGCUCUAGCAGGUUCUUCGUGGCCAGAUUCUUCCAAGAGCUAGUCGAGGUGCGCUGCGACUUCUCGCAGCGGUUCGACAGGUUCGCUGUCUUCACCGGCGUUGAGCUGGAGCGCACCUCCCGUGGUGAGCUCCGGAUGAUCAAGCACAAGUCGGAGCGUUACAGCAUCGCUCACAAAGUCCUCUGCCAUAGUGUUCUUUGAUUUCACAACGUCCUCAUCGUACCUAUUUCCUCCGUUUCAUAUUGUAAGACUUUUUAGCAUUACCGACAUUAAUAUAUAUAUUAAUGAAUCUAGACAUAUAUACAUGUUUAGAUUCAUUAACAUCUAUAUAAAUGUGGGAAAUACUAGAAAGUCUUGUAAUAUGAAACGGAGGGAGUAUAUAUAUGUCUAGAUUCAUUAGCAUACGUAUGAAUGUCGGCAAUGCUAAAAAGUCUUAUAAUAUAAAACGGAGGGAGUAUCUAUGAUAAGGCAUGUAAACAAUCAAUUAUUUGGUUGGUGAAGAUGAGUUAGCUGGAGUAUUUUGAAAUUAUGCAAUUUCUUGUAAUACUCUGUAUUUUCAAACAGGAAAUUGGAAAAUAGAUGCUCCCUCUUUAGUUCAUUG